rnacentral:rRNA from 1 species
CUACAGGCUUAACACAUGCAAGUCGAGGGGCAGCGGGAUUGAAGCUUGCUUCAAUUGCCGGCGACCGGCGCACGGGUGAGUAACGCGUAUCCAACCUUCCGUACACUCAGGGAUAGCCUUUCGAAAGAAAGAUUAAUACCUGAUGGUAUGAUGAGAUUGCAUGAUAGCAUCAUUAAAGAUUUAUCGGUGUACGAUGGGGAUGCGUUCCAUUAGGUAGUAGGCGGGGUAACGGCCCACCUAGCCUACGAUGGAUAGGGGUUCUGAGAGGAAGGUCCCCCACAUUGGAACUGAGACACGGUCCAAACUCCUACGGGAGGCAGCAGUGAGGAAUAUUGGUCAAUGGACGAGAGUCUGAACCAGCCAAGUAGCGUGAAGGAUGAAGGUCCUACGGAUUGUAAACUUCUUUUAUAAGGGAAUAAAACCUCCCACGUGUGGGAGCUUGUAUGUACCUUAUGAAUAAGCAUCGGCUAACUCCGUGCCAGCAGCCGCGGUAAUACGGAGGAUGCGAGCGUUAUCCGGAUUUAUUGGGUUUAAAGGGAGCGCAGACGGGUCGUUAAGUCAGCUGUGAAAGUUUGGGGCUCAACCUUAAAAUUGCAGUUGAUACUGGCGUCCUUGAGUGCGGUUGAGGUGUGCGGAAUUCGUGGUGUAGCGGUGAAAUGCUUAGAUAUCACGAAGAACUCCGAUUGCGAAGGCAGCACACUAAGCCGUAACUGACGUUCAUGCUCGAAAGUGUGGGUAUCCAACAGGAUUAGAUACCCUGGUAAUCCA